rnacentral:sRNA from 1 species
GUGGCAGCCACAGCAGCCUCAGGGACCUCAGCAACUAUGGCCUCCUGCCCAGACUCUGAUAAUAGCUGGGUGCUUGCUGGCUCCGAGGGACACUCUUCCAGACUGAAAGCCCUCAGUCUGGCAGCAUUCUAACAGAGGAGACUGAGGUCAAGGUGAGGAGAUUCGCUGUGGGAAGGAAGGGAGGCGGGGAGGGCUAGCAGCUGCUCACUGCUGCAUCUGCAUUAGGGCACCCUGGAAGGUGAUGUUUGUGGUGUGGAGCCUCCUGGCCCAGGAGACACAGUAGUCCAGGGAGACCUGCAGGAGACCACUGUGGUGACAGGCCUGGGACCAGACACACAGGACCUGGAAGGCCAGAGCCCUCCACAGAGCCUGCCUUCAACCCCCAAAGCAGCUUGGAUCAGGGAGGAGGGCCGCUGCUCCAGCAGUGAGGAUGACACCGACGUGGACAUGGAGGGUCUGCGGAGACGGCGGGGCCGGGAGGCCGGCCCACCUCAGCCCAUGGUGUCCCUGGCUGUGGAGAACCAGGCUGGGGGUGAGGGUGCAGGCGGGGAGCUGGGCAUCUCCCUCAAUAUGUGCCUCCUUGGGGCCCUGGUUCUGCUUGGCCUGGGGGUCCUCCUCUUCUCAGGUGGCCUCUCAGAGUCUGAGACUGGGCCCAUGGAGGAAGUGGAGCGGCAGGUCCUCCUAGACCCCGAGCUGCUGGAUGCUGUGGGGGACAGGCAGGAUGGGCUAAGGGAACAGCUGCAGGCCUCAGUGCCUCCUGACAGUGUCCCCAGCCUGCAAAACAUGGGUCUUCUGCUGGACAAGCUGGCCAAGGAGAACCAGGACAUCCGGCUGCUGCAGGCCCAGCUGC